GAGAGCCGGAUGCGUCGCCGAGGCGCACGUCCGGUUCGGGAGGCGGCUCAAGGAAACGGACCGACCGAAAGGUCGGCACCGCGCCUUGAGCCGACCUCAC
rnacentral:ncRNA from 1 species